rnacentral:lncRNA from 1 species
AUGAAUACACCUCAUCUUUAUCCACAACCCUCUUCGACAGUGUCUUUUGCAAACCCAGAGCUCCUUGGAGAAUCACCCACAGCCCAGCGUCCUUUCCAACACAGUUUCCUUUCUUCCCCUGCACCUUUUGUGAUGACCACUGGAAACGCCUCGCCAGAGGAAGCCGUCUCUCUGAGUCUAUCGUUCCCAGCUCCUGUCUGGCUCCUCUCACUGCCAGACGUGACUCCCGUGAAGAGGUCACUCUGUGAAGAGGUCACUCCCUCGGAGAGGUCAGUCUGUGAAGAGGUUGUUCUGUGAAGAGGCCACUCUGUGAAGAGGUCACUCCCUCGGAGAGGUCAGUCUGUGAAGAGGUUGUUCUGUGAAGAGGCCACUCUGUGAAGAGGUCACUCCCUCGGAGAGGUCAGUCUGUGAAGAGGUUGUUCUGUGAAGAGGCCACUCUGUGAAGAGGUCACUCCCUCGGAGAGGUCAGUCUGUGAAGAGGUUGUUCUGUGAAGAGGCCACUCUGUGAAGAGGUCACUCCCUCGGAGAGGUCAGUCUGUGAAGAGGUUGUUCUGUGAAGAGGCCACUCUGUGAAGAGGUCACUCCCUCGGAGAGGUCAGUCUGUGAAGAGGUUGUUCUGUGAAGAGGCCACUCUGUGAAGAGGUCACUCCCUCGGAGAGGUCAGUCUGUGAAGAGGUUGUUCUGUGAAGAGGCCACUCUGUGAAGAGGUCACUCCCUCGGAGAGGUCAGUCUGUGAAGAGGUUGUUCUGUGAAGAGGCCACUCUGUGAAGAGGUCACUCCCUCGGAGAGGUCAGUCUAUGAAGAGGUUGUUCUGUGAAGAGGCCACUCUGUGAAGAGGUCACUCCCUCGGAGAGGUCAGUCUAUGAAGAGGUUGUUCUGUGAAGAGGCCACUCUGUGAAGAGGUCACUCCCUCGGAGAGGUCAGUCUGUGAAGAGGUUGUUCUGUGAAGAGGCCACUCUGUGAAGAGGUCACUCCCUCGGAGAGGUCAGUCUGUGAAGAGGUCACUCCGUGAUGAAUUGAUGUGUUUUUAAACAUAAAGUUUCGGUUGUUUUUGCACCUCAAAUCCUGAUCAUGGAUUGUAUCACUUUGGCUUCUAAACAUUUCGGCUUCUUCAGAAAACACUCGGCCAAGGACUGUGAGGACACGCCCUCAGCCGGGCGGCCUCGUCCUCAGCUCGAAGACAGGACGGCUCUCACUGGAGGAGUCAUGAACGCGGACCUCGCAGCGCCGUCUACUCCAGGGCAGUCACCACACUGGCCCCAUCUCAUGGCGUCUAAGACUCCCGGCAUGCGGUGCCCGGCAGCUGGUUCCUGAGACAUCGCUGUCCCGUUUGAGGCUCCCUGGAGAGAAGUCAUAGAGGUAACAAGGUGGGCAGGGCCGAGCUUUCCCUGCCAGAGCCACCAGCCAGGCACAGGGCUGAUGCCACCAGCGACCCCACAACCCUCUCCCCCUGCCCCCUGCCGGGACCGCUCGCCCUGGCCCUCUGAGCACUUCUUCCUUCUCAAGCAUCAGCUCACACGGCCCCACGGCCUUGCCCGAUCCCAUGUCUCAUUAGAUCCCCUUGUUGUUUUUCCUCACCAUCUUUUCUUUCAUGUAUGAAACUCCUUGAAUGUUGACAGUACAGCAAACCGUCCAGUGAACAUCCCAGCUCCAUCUCCCGGGUCAAUUGCUACAGCCAUUUGCCAAGCUUGCUUUAAUGACCUUUUAAUUUAGUUUUAAUUUUUAUUUAUUUAUGUAUUUUCGGACGGACUCUUACUCUGUUGCCAGGCUGGAGUGCGGUGGCACAAUCUCGGCUCACUGCAACCUCUGCCUCCUGGGUUCAAGUGAUUCUCCUGCCUCAGCCUCCCGAGUAGCUGGGACUACAGGCAUGUGCCACCACACCCAGCUAAUUUUUGUAUUUUUAGUAGAGACAGGGUGUCACCAUGUUGGCCAGGAUGGUCUUGAUCUCUUGACCUCGUGAUCCACCCGCCUCGGCCUCCCAAAGUGCUGGGAUUACAGGCGUGAGCCACCGCGCCUGGCCUGCUUUGAUGACUUUAUAGGUAGAAUGUUUCAGAGUGAGUUACGGACAUUGUAACAGUUACAGGUAAAUACUUCAGUCUUCAUCUCUAAAAAAAAGGGGUGCUUUCUAUACAAGUGUAACACCAUUACUGCACUUAGCCAAAUUAGAAAUAGCUCCUGAACGUCUUCUAACACCCAGAGCACACUUAACAUUUCCACAGUUUCCUAAUGUUGUCUUUACAGCUGCCUCUCUUUCCUCCAAGCUUUGCACGAAAUUGAAGACUUCUUUUCCGUCCUUUUUGUCCUGUGCCGUGCUAAGGGUGGUUGGUAAAGUGUGGCAUUCUGGAAGUACUUGCAUGGAUUUUUUUUUACCGUUUUUACCUUUGUGGGGUCAUGUUUUGAAUGUAUGUAGUUUGAAUGAAAAUGUAGUUACAUUUUCAACUUCUUUUCAAUAUCGAGAUUUUUGUUUCUUUUUAAUUUAGUUUAAUAGUUUGAAUAUAAAAUACAGCGACCUGGUUAAAAGUCAGAGACCAAAGUGUCCCUGGAAAGGCCGGGUUUCCCAGCCUGUCUCUGCCCCACGCGGCUCUCUUCCCAGCAGGAACCUAUUCAGUUUCUGGUUAAUUCUUUCAGUGUUUCUCUUUGUGACGCCUUUUUUAUAAAGGUAGAACACUACGGUCACAGAUCUGCACUCUACUUUUUCACUUAAUAACAUAUGUUGGCGAUUACUGUGCAUCACUCUGUGCUCCCUGUAGAAGGGGUUUCCAGGAGGUGGGUCUACCGACGUUUCAAGAGCCCCUCACAGUAAGAUGUCUGGGUGGUUUCCAGUCUUUGAGGCUGCAAAGGAAACUCACGUGCCAGCACCAUCCACACGUCGGCAUCAUUUCCUGCUUUGCUCACACGUGCACUCUCAGGACAGGUCAAUGGAAACGCAUCCGUGACUUUGUUGGGGAUGGCCAUCUCCCUUCACAGGGUCAUGCCGUUUGGCAUGACAGCCAGCAACGUACAUCUGGGCCUUCCCUCACCUUUCCUGCCCACAGAAUACGCGGUCAGCCGCAGCGUCUAUCACUCUGGGGCUGGGACGAGCUGUUUCAGAGCGCUGGCCUGUCUUUCUUUCUCCACCGGGGAAGCUGGGCCCUUGCUUGCGUGGUGGGCCAUGCUCGGCAGCUAUUUCUGAGAAAGGCCUGUUCAUGGCUCUUGCCCGUUGUCCUGUUGUCCUGCUUUUAAUUCUCCAUUUCUGGAAACUCUAUAUUAUGUAGAUUCACCCUUUGUGACAACGUACAAGUGUUUGUUCACAAUUUACCCCUGGUAUUUUGAUUUUGCUUUUUUGGGGAGGGGAUGGCCAGGGGUGUUUUGUAUUUUAAUGUAGCUGAAUUUCUUGGUCAUUUCUUCUGUUGGUACGGAAUUUUGAACAACAUUUAAAAAGGAUUUCCCCACGCCCAGGUUAUGAAGCGAUUCUUGUAUAGCCUUCUGGUGUUCAUGUGAUGUCAUGUUUCCUGUGCGGCUCGAUGACCCCACUGGAGUGUGUCCUAUACUGUGAAGCCCAGUGUGACACAAGGAUCCAAGUCACGUUUCCAGGUGGCCUCCAGAGCAGCCAGAGCCAUUUACUGACAAGUCCAUCUUCCGAGCCUGACAGGCCGCUGUUAUCACACACAAACGCCACGUAUUCAUGUGGGCCUAUUGUUGGAUCUUCUAGUCUGUUCCAUUAUUCAUUUGUCACCAGAACCACACUAUUAAUUAUGAACACUUGAUCCUACUUUUAAUAUCUGCCAGGGUCAGUCCCACAGCCCCUGCCCUGCUAAUCCUUUCCAGGAUGGUCCUGACUCUUCUUAUUUGUGUUUUCUUUUGGAACUUUAGAAUAAAUUUUGUCUUGGCCCUGGCAGACAGGGAGGACCUUUUGGUG